UUCUUUAAAAUUAAAAAAGUUGGCGGUAUUUUAGUCUAUUCAGAGGAACCUGUCCUAUAAUUGAUAGUCCACGAUUUUAUUUACUUAUUUUUAAAAAUUUGCAUAUCGCCGUAGGUUGAAUAUCUUUAGAAAGUUUUAAAUAUUCAAGAUUUAUAAUUAAAAGAAAACAGGUCAAGGUGUAGUUUAUAGAUAAGAAGAGAUGGGUUACAAUAAAUAAAUUUAAAUGGAUAAGUUUUUUUAAUGAAGCUUUGAAAGUGGAUUUGAUAGUAAUUUAAAAUAGAUUUUUUAGAUGAUUUUAGCUCUAAAAUAUGUACAUAUCGCCCGUCGCUUUCACUUUAAAGUGGAAUAAGUCGUAACACAGUAGGGGUACUGGAAAGUGUCCCUAGAAAGAUCGAGUUAAAGCUUUUGGAGCAUUUUAGUUACAUUAAAAAGGUUUAUUGAUAUUUCAAUAUAAUUCGAAAAAAUUGGAUUAUUAAAAAAUUAAAUUUUUUAGUGAUUAAAAAAAGAAAUUUUUUUUUAUUAUUAUAUAUGAAAAAAGUAUGUAUUAAUUAUAGAGUAAAGUAUUGUAUAAGAAAUUUAAAAUUUUUUUGUAAGAAUAAUUAUUUUUUAGUACCUGG
rnacentral:rRNA from 1 species